rnacentral:tRNA from 1 species
AAAGGUAUAGCUCAGUGGUAGAGUUGUGUGCUUGAACCACGAGGUCCUGGGUUCAAUCCCCAGUGCCUCCA